rnacentral:rRNA from 1 species
CCUACGGGUGGCUGCAGUGAGGAAUAUUGGUCAAUGGGCGUAAGCCUGAACCAGCCAAGCCGCGUGAGGGAUGAAGGUUCUAUGGAUCGUAAACCUCUUUUAUAAGGGAAUAAAGUGUGGGACGUGUCCUGUGUUGUAUGUACCUUAUGAAUAAGGAUCGGCUAACUCCGUGCCAGCAGCCGCGGUAAUACGGAGGAUCCGAGCGUUAUCCGGAUUUAUUGGGUUUAAAGGGUGCGUAGGCGGCCUUUUAAUUCAGCGGUGAAAGUCUGUGGCUCAACCAUAGAAUGGCCGUUGAAACGGGGAGGCUUGAGUAGGUUUGAGGCAGGCGGAAUGCGUGGGGUAGCGGUGAAAUGCAUAGAUAUCACGCAGAACCCCGAUUGCGAAGGCAGCCUGCCAAGCCAUGACUGACGCUGAUGCACGAAAGCGUGGGGAUCAAACAGGAUUAGAUACCCUUGUAGUC